UAGUCCACGCCGUAAACGAUGGAUACUAGCUGUUCGGGGCCUUGAGCUCUGAGCGGCUAAGCGAAAGUGAUAAGUAUCCCACCUGGGGAGUACGUUCGCAAGAAUGAAACUCAAAGGAAUUGACGGGGGCCCGCACAAGCGGUGGAGCAUGUGGUUUAAUUCGAUGAUACGCGAGGAACCUUACCAGGGCUUAAAUGUAGUCUGACAGCUUUAGAGAUAGAGUUUUCUUCGGACAGAUUACAAGGUGCUGCAUGGUUGUCGUCAGCUCGUGCCGUGAGGUGUCAGGUUAAGUCCUAUAACGAGCGCAACCCCUGUCGUUAGUUGCCAGCAUGUCAUGAUGGGGACUCUAACGAGACUGCCGGUGCAAACCGCGAGGAAGGUGGGGGAUGGACGUCAAAUCAUCACGGGCCCUUACGUCCUGGGGCCACACACGUGCUACAUGGCCGGUACAGAGAGCAGCCACGUCGCAAGGGCGGGAACG
rnacentral:rRNA from 1 species